GACAGAGGUCCCAAGCGUUAGGCGGAAUCACUGGGCUUAAAGCGUGUGUAGGCGGACGCGUAAGUGCUUUGUGAAAUCCCACGGCUCACCCGUGGAACUGCUUGGCAUACUGCGCGCCUUGAGCCACUUAGGGGCAACUGGAACAAACGGUGGAGCGGUGAAAUGCGUAGAUAUCAUUUGGAACGCCAAUGGUGAAAACAGCUCGCUGGGGGUUUGCUGACGCUGAGACACGAAAGCCAGGGGAGCAAACGGG
rnacentral:rRNA from 1 species